rnacentral:tRNA from 1 species
GGUGACGUAGCCAAGUGGUAAGGCCAAGGUCUGCAAAACCUUUAUGCCCCGGUUCAAAUCCGGGCGUCACCUCCA